AACUCCCUAGCUAUCUUCCGUGCGGCCUUAGUCACAAUUCGCCCCUGCGAUGUGCUAAGUCAGCCUUUCCCCGAAAUAUUGCCACAACAAAGCUAAUAGAAGCUAAGAAGAGAAGCUUGCAAGAAUGCUCUGUAUUAAACAAGAGAAUGCUUUAUACAAGUGUUGGAUUGCUUGAAUGUUUCUUGGGUGCAAAUGCCAAAUGCCUCUAGCCUAUUUAUAGUUGCUAGAGUCCCAAAUCAACGGCUAAGAUAUAUUCUAAUCAAUGGCUAAGAUCAAAG
rnacentral:lncRNA from 1 species